UUGGAGAUUAAAUUAAAGUGCACCAUAAUCAAAGAAAAUCAGGUUUUCUAAAAAAAAAAGUCAAAUGAAAAGAGCAUGUUCAACAUAAAACAAAUAUGUGAACACUUCAACACGUGGAUGCAUACAUUUUGCAAACUCCAAGUUGAACCUGCUGCAGUUUCCCUCCCCCACCCCUCUGUUCAUGUGUAUGUGUGUGUGUGUGUUAAGCACACAUCCCUCACAGCGCCUCAUUCAACUCAUGAACGCGCGGCAUUUGCAAACACGUGCUAAUGACGCAAUCAAUUGGAGACGCCUUUUCCCGCGAACUCAUCUCUCCUGGGAGAGCAGUCUUUAUAGGAAACAUGCCCUUUGUCUUCAUGCUGGGAUUAAGAAAAAACAGAAAGCGUAAAAUACCUCAAGAGGAUGCAGAACAUUACAUUUGUUGUAAAAGUGACAAACCUGCAAGUGCAAUUCAUCAACAAUUACAAAGGAGGAUGAGUUUUCACCACUGAAGCUUUAUUCAGAGGGGAUUUUGUUCUUGAGUACAAGUUUGGGUGCAUGGAUGCAUCGAAAGAAGAUGGGUCUUUAGGGAGACUUGUAAAUGAUGACCACAAAGCUCCUAACUGCAAAAUGAAAAUCAUAUCUUUGCUGUGUGCAACAUACUUCCAGGAGAAGAUAUAACCUACAAUUAUGGAGAUUCUGGUUAUGUCCCAUAAUGCUUCUGUCUCCUCACCUGCUUUGGACAACGUGAAGAUGAGUGAUCCUCACAAACAAUCUGAGCCACAACAGUCAGACAAAGCAAGAAGAUCAGGGAAUAAGACGGUAACCCUUUCAUUCAGGCACCAGGUAGCCUAUCUAGUGAUAUUUGCUGCUAAGUGAACAGGGCAGAGUAACCAGAACAAGGUAAGACAGACCCUUUGGCAGGUUUAUUUAAAAUGUAAUCUUGUUCUAACUAUAUAACAUCAUACAAUUGUGUCUUAAAGCAAUUUAUUUAAAGAUGAAAGGAUAGCUCAAUUAUGUAUUUUCACAUGCCAGAUAUUCUGGAGUUAAUUCAUACAGUAUGACCAAUAGUACACAAACAGAUUUUACUAUAAAAGAUUGGUUAAUUACUGGCAAGUGAUAGUUGGACUGCAUAGUUAAUCGUAAAAAGAUGGCGAUCUCGAUUCGAACCCCUGAACGUCGAUGCGUGAACGACAUUUAAAUGACCAUAUUGCAGUUUGGAGUUAUGUUUACUACAAGAUAGGGUUGUGCCGAUUGACACUAGUGUUGUGUAUCGAUGAUAGGGAGAGAUAGCACAGAGAGCUGAGGCCUGACUAUUUUAAAGAUGAUGUUUGGUUCGUUUCACAUUUCUGUAGACCUAUUACAUGUGUUAAAUUCAUUUUUAAAUAAAAGACUUAUUAUUAAUAUUAUCUUGUUGUUGAUGUUAUUCUUAUCAGAAUUAAUAAUCAAUUAACUGUAAUUUGUCCAGCUUUAGCUGUGUCCGUCAGCAUUGCCUAACCGACACUUUCAGACUGCAGCAGCAAUCAUUUAAAUUGAAAAUUGCCUGCUCAAAG